UUAAAAUUUAAAUUGAUUAUAGAAGAUUAUAAGUUAUGUUCUUUAAACUUAAAAAAAAUUGGCGGUAUUUAAAUCUAAUUAGGGGAACUUGUCUUUAAAAUGAUAGUCCGCAAGAAACCUUACUUUAAUUUGUAUAAAUUUAUUUAUUGCCGUUAUCAGAUUAUUUUAUUAGGAAAAUAAUUUUCUAAAAUAUUUAUAUAAAAUAUAUAUUUCAGGUCUUUAUGUAGUUUAUAUUAAAGUUAAGAUGAGUUACAAUAAUUUUUAUUUAUAAUGGAUAUUAUAAUGCAAUUUUUAAUUGAAAGUGGACUUAAUAGUAAAAUAAAAUAUUAUAUUUAUUUGAAUUAAGAAUUAAAUAUGU
rnacentral:rRNA from 1 species